rnacentral:rRNA from 1 species
CUGGUGCCAGCCGCCGCGGUAAAACCAGCUCUUCAAGUGGUCGGGAUAAUUAUUGGGCUUAAAGUGUCCGUAGCCGGUUUAGUAAGUUCCUGGUAAAAUCGGGUAGCUUAACUAUCUGUAUGCUAGGAAUACUACUAUGCUAAGGGCGGGAGAAGGUCGACGGUAUUCUCAGGGUAGGGUGAAAUCCUAUAAUCCUGGGAGGACCACCAGUGGCGAAGCUGUCGGCUAAACGCGCUCGACGGUGAGGGACGAAAGCUGGGGGAGCAAACCGGAUUAGAUACCCGGGUAGUCCCAGCUGUAAACGAUGCGGGCUAGUGUUGGGGUGGCUACGAGCCACUUCAGUGCCGCAGGGAAGCCGUUAAGCCCGCCGCCCGGGGAGUACGGGCCGCAAGGCUGAAACUUAAAGGAAUUGGCGGGGGAGCACCACAAGGCGUGAAGCUUGCGGUUCAAUUGGAGUCAACGCCGGGAACCUUACCGGGGGCGACAGCAGAAUGAAGGCCAAUUGAAGGUCUUGCCGGACAAGCUGAGAGGAGGUGCAUGGCCGUCGCCAGUUCGUGCCGUGAGGUGUCCUGUUAAAGUCAGGCAACGAUCGAGACCCGCACCCUUAGUUUGCUACCGAGGAAGGUUUUCCAAGGGGCACUCUAGGGGGACUGCGCCGACAGGCGGAGGAAGGAGCGGGCCACGGCAGGUACAGUAUGCCCCGAAUCCCCCGGGCACAACACGCGAGCU